GCCUGGCUGGCUCAGUCAGUAGAGCAUGUGACCCUUGAUCUCAAGGCUGUGAGUUCAAGUCCCACGUAGGGCA
rnacentral:tRNA from 1 species